rnacentral:rRNA from 1 species
AAGUCGUAACAAGGUCUCCGUUGGUGAACCAGCGAGGGAUCAUUA